AUGUUCAAUGCCAUUAUUGAACAAGCAGGGCUUAGGGAAUUACCCCUGAAUGGGAGAAAGUACACUUGGGCUAAUAAUCAGGAUGACCCUACUUUUGAAAAACUAGAUAGAGUGUUGAUGUGCCCAGCUUGGGAGGAAAAAUACCCACUUACCAUGUUGCAAGCCUUUUCUAGAGAGAUUUCUGAUCAUACUCCUUUGUUCCUGGAUACAGGGGAAGCUCAUAAUCAUAAAUAUAUUUUUAGAUAUGAAAAUGCUUGGCUGCUGAGAGAGGGCUUUAGAGAGUUGGUAUAUAACACCUGGAAUGAGAGAUACUUAGGGGACGUUCUGGAUAGAUGGCAAUCAAGGUUGAGAAGAUUGAGGAAAAAAGCUAAAGUAUGGAAUAGAAAUAUAGAUGCUUGGUAG
rnacentral:rRNA from 1 species